rnacentral:rRNA from 1 species
UAUCCCCUGUGUGCCUUGCCGUAAACGAUGAACACUAGGUGUCGGGGGAAUCGACCCCCUCGGUGUCGUAGCCAACGCGUUAAGUGUUCCGCCUGGGGAGUACGCACGCAAGUGUGAAACUCAAAGGAAUUGACGGGGGCCCGCACAAGCGGUGGAGUAUGUGGUUUAAUUCGAUGAUACGCGAGGAACCUUACCAGGGCUUAAAUGUAAGUUGCAUUAGUUAGAGAUAGCUAUUUCUUCGGACCACUUACAAGGUGCUGCAUGGUU